UGAGCAGUGGUUUAAGCUUGAGCAUCUCAGCCAAGAACAUCAAAAGAGGCAACAGGGAAAAGAAAAAGAUAUACUAAAAGCAUGACUGUAAGAGGACUGCAGCAAUAUAAGUAGUCCUAACUAUGGAAUUCAUUUUAAAAGUUCAGCCUCGAAAAUUUUCCUGAUAGCCAAAGUAAUCUCACGUAAAUCAGUGAUUCAUGAAGAUUUGGAAACGAAGGCAAGAAUUUGAGAAGAGAGAGCUUCCGCAUCAUCCUAUAACAGUUAAACGCCUUCCUUUGUAGUGGACAUGGCUAUGCUCAUGAUCAGACUUGCAUUUAAGCCGUCUUCAUUUUGGGCUUCAAUCAAACACUAAAUGCUUAUUAAAUUCUCAGGCUGCAAAAUUGAAUUGAUGACUUACGUCGUCAACCACCUAGGCUUGACUUGUUACUUUUUUCCUGACUAUUCUUUUUCUCCGAGCCUUAGGCACUGGUGUUUCCCCUUCAGAAGCUAUGCCAGUCUGACCCUGUUUGAUCCCAAGAAGCCCAAGCCCUGAAACUAUGGCAUUCUUGGACAAGAACCAUUUUGAAGAAGGCUGAUCAAGACCCUCAGUGGGUCUACUAUAAGCCUUCAAGACAUCAUCUGAAUGGGCCAGUGGAUCCACCUCCACACCGAGCCACGCUAGUCUUGAUGCCUCUCCUACUCGAACAUUCAAGACCCUCAGGGCAGUGCUGAAGAAGAGAGCCACUCCAAUAACAUCAAAGUGGUUAACUACAGCUCUGUCAAAUCCACACAAUAGCUGAUAACGCAGGUUUGCAUAAAGACCAAGGAAGGCACCAUAACCAAGGGCAUUACUGCUCACAGAUGGUACUGUCACCGACAACCUUCCCUUCUUUCUAGUGACAACAAGAUUCGAUACAGCCCCUUGGAAAGCCCCUGUAGUGAGACCAACCAAACAGAGCUCUGCAGCCUUAUAGAAAAAGGACUGAAUUCUCUUUUGCAAGUCGAAUUCUCUUAGUGGAUAACUCUUUUCAAAGACAUUGUUUGGAAGCUUCUGUAAUGUGUUUUGCAAAUCAAACUGGAAUGUGUUCCCAUAUGAACGACAAGGAGCAAGCGACCAAACAACAAUAGCAUUGCAAGCCGUUACAGUAAGCACAUUAAGAAGGGCAAGAUCCCACUCCUGCUUUAUCCUCUCCUUACGGUUUUUGAUCUCCCACCAAACUGAGCAACCAAUUGUACUGGCUUGCUCUAGAAGCAGUUUGUAUAAAAAUACCGGAUCUGCAAUCAUCCUUCCAAUGAAUGCCCUUGAUAAUCCUUGAGGAAGUGACCGCGAAAUAAAUCUAGCUGUUGUAGGUCUGGCAUUAAUGGCAAGAAAUUUCACCAUUUGAGCAGAGCUAACUAAACCCAUUUCAUAGGCUUGUCGAAGCCCAGCUGGUAAAUCCAUCAUUGUCUUCUGCCACUCAUUUAGCACCGCAUCAACAAAUUUCCGAUCAAACAACUCUUGUAGUAUCAUUCUUCUCCUAAAU
rnacentral:misc_RNA from 1 species